UAACCCCCAAAUUAUUACUACUGUUUGUGUGCAUUUCUACUUAGUAAUAACCUGAUGUUCUUACACUUGUUUUUGUACACAUCAGGGAUUCGAUGAGUACAUGAACUUGGUCCUUGAUGAUGCUGAAGAAAUCAAUGUUAAGAAGAACACUAGGAAAUCAUUGGGUCGGAUACUUCUGAAAGGUGACAACAUAACUUUGAUGAUGAACACUGGCAAGUGAAGGUCGUUGGUGUUUGGCGCCAAGUUUUUCCGUGAGGCAUUUGUAAUCCAUCCAGACUGAAAUGUAGAACGUCAUUGUGUGCGAGAUAUGUACUCCAUCCAGACUGAGAAUGUAGUAUGAGAGUGAGAUUGGUAUCGCUGUUGACUAAAUGGGUUUAACUCUGUGAGCUACUGCUAGAUGUGAUAAUGAGCUGCUCACUUGUGUUCUGAAGAUCAACUUGACUCGUGUGUGCUUUGUUGACA